CAUUAAUAAAACUUGAUCAUGAACAUAAAUUGUUCGUUUAAAAAUACGCCUAUAAAAUUUCGAAACCGAAAGUGUCGGCCACGCUUACACCGCUUAUAUGCACGUCACGCCACUGCCAACGAUUCGUCGGCCCGUUUUUUCGGCGAAUCGCGUGAUUCGAGCGGGCAUGUAAUAUACAUGCAUCAUUCGCGUCGCCACUGCGG